rnacentral:rRNA from 1 species
CCUACGGGUGGCAGCAGUGGGGAAUAUUGCACAAUGGGGGAAACCCUGAUGCAGCGACGCCGCGUGAGUGAAGAAGUAUUUCGGUACGUAAAGCUCUAUCAGCAGGGAAGAAAAUGACGGUACCUGACUAAGAAGCCCCGGCUAACUACGUGCCAGCAGCCGCGGUAAUACGUAGGGGGCAAGUGUUAUCCGGAUUUACUGGGUGUAAAGGGAGCGUAGACGGCAGCACAAGUCUGGAGUGAAAUCCCAUGGCUUAACCAUGGAACUGCUUUGGAAACUGUGCAGCUAGAGUGCAGGAGAGGUAAGCGGAAUUCCUAGUGUAGCGGUGAAAUGCGUAGAUAUUAGGAGGAACACCAGUGGCGAAGGCGGCUUACUGGACUGUAACUGACGUUGAGGCUCGAAAGCGUGGGGAGCAAACAGGAUUAGAUACCCGAGUAGUC